rnacentral:rRNA from 1 species
AUUGAACGCUGGCGGCAGGCCUAACACAUGCAAGUCGAACGGUAACAGGAAACAGCUUGCUGUUUCGCUGACGAGUGGCGGACGGGUGAGUAAUGUCUGGGAAACUGCCUGAUGGAGGGGGAUAACUACUGGAAACGGUAGCUAAUACCGCAUAACGUCGCAAGACCAAAGAGGGGGACCCUCGGGCCUCUUGCCAUCGGAUGUGCCCAGAUGGGAUUAGCUUGUUGGUGGGGUAACGGCUCACCAAGGCGACGAUCCCUAGCUGGUCUGAGAGGAUGACCAGCCACACUGGAACUGAGACACGGUCCAGACUCCUACGGGAGGCAGCAGUGGGGAAUAUUGCACAAUGGGCGCAAGCCUGAUGCAGCCGUGCCGCGUGUAUGAAGAAGGCCUUCGGGUUGUAAAGUACUUUCAGCGGGGAGGAAGGGAGUAAAGUUAAUACCUUUGCUCAUUGACGUUACCCGCAGAAGAAGCACCGGCUAACUCCGUG